GUGUACGCAAAGUAGAUCAGUUGAACAUAUACAUAUACAUAUAUCCAUUGUUUUUCAGAUUCUUUUCCCAUAUGGGUUAUUAAAGAAUAAUGAAUAGAGUUCCCUGUGCUAUACAGUAGGUCCUUUUUAGUUAUCUAUUUUAUGUACAGUAGUGUGAGCUUUGUUAAUUCUGAUUGUGAAGCAAGGUGAUCACUGACAUGUUCUUACAGGGGACAGUUUUCCAGUUUUGAAGAGACCUGUUGGGAUAAACACAUUCAAGAUAAUAGCGCUGGGACAGGACAAAAGCCACUUCAUUGUAAAAAUGCCUUCAACCUGAAACAUUCUGAUGGACCUGUGCACGAACAAUGGACACACACUGCCUAAUGUGGGAUGGAAGAGUAGCUGGUGGACCGCGGCAUUCUCUGGAUUCAUGGUAAGAAAUUCACCCUCCCUCCGAGAAGUCCAUCAGUUAAUAUUAACAAGCAGAAAGAGCAAGAACCACUUGGCAGGAAGCUCUGAAUUUCCCCCAGACUCUGAGUCAAGAGGUCAUCAAGGAAGGAGUCUGGCUGUAAAGUACACCUAUCUUCCUGUGAUGAGAGUGACGACCGGGGUGACUGGAAUCAGAGUGUAGCCUGCCCUCCUUUGGCAAACAAACACCCAC
rnacentral:lncRNA from 1 species